rnacentral:sRNA from 10 species
AGAUACCAGGGUCAAAAGGUCAGAAGUUCGACGCAAGCUUGCCUGCAGGAGAAUUUUUGACCUUGGGACCCGCCAAAAACAUGAGUAAGUAGCCAUUUUUCAAAGAAAAAUGAGCGAAUUACGAAUGUUUUCGAAGAUUGCGGGAGCAUAUAGUGCGGAGCAAUCUGGUAUCA